AUCUUGUCGUAUUGACUAUGUGUGCCUGCUAUAUCCCAACUGUCUAAGAUUACUUCCAAACUUCUUCCUGCUACAAAUAUUCGGGGACAUUCCCCCAUUCAAGAAAAGUGGCCUUGCUCUUAUGUCAUCUGACUAAAGGUUUCAUAGACCAAAGAUAACCAUCCAACCUGUUGGAAUACUGAAACAAUUGCUGCCUGCUGUCCACACACCACAUAAAAUAUGUGGAUUUCCUAAAUUCUGCAAAAAAGAUUUGGAAGCUGAUCAAGCAAUACUGGAACUCCCUCUUCUCCAGAAGACAGAGACAUCCUGGCCUCCAUGCAGAGGAAUGUGUGGAUGGACAUAUAUUUAAGGAAGACACUAAACCAGAAACUACUACAUUACACCCUCUUAGAAGACUUCUAAGAUUGUUGUCAUGCCUACCACAGACAUUCAGAUGAUGUGUAUUCUUGAUUGUGAUUUCAUGUUUGGAGCUGAUGAAGGAACCCAUGAGAUGAACAUAUGCCUGAGAAGAAGGACUCGUGUGGAACUGUCAGCCAGGUUUUUGAUGAGUGGUCAGACUGCUUCCUGAUACGGCACCACAUUUACUACAGUGGACAGAUGUUCUAGUCUCUGAUGAGGAGUUGCUAGCUGUUAGGAAGAACCUGGAAUGGGCUCCACUGCAUGAGGUUUGAAGUCUCCAGAGCAGCAAGGGGAGUGAGGAGUAGAACUCAUCAUCUUUAGGUCACUCAUCAUCGAUGGAUUGUUUCCAACCUUAGUAUACAGACAUGGAUGGUUGAACACAAACCUGUCAGGCUGAUAAAGAACUAGACAUCUACUAACGUCCUUGGAACAAUGUUCAGAUUGCUGCACAUCCUCCUGAAGAUGCCAUGGAUGACAUGGUUCCUUGUGAUUGUUCUUCUCUUCUUGUUGUUGCUGUUUUCUUUUAACUUUUGAAGAGGAUGCUUUAUUAGUCUGUUGCUAUGUUAGUCAUCUCCUGGCAUUAGAAACCAACAUCCCACUGUUUAAAUGUUUUACAUUUCCUACUCUUUUUGGAAAACACAAUGUAUGCGCAUCAUUUUUCCUAUUGCUUCAAAGACAUACCACUAUGUAAUUCAACUUUACAAUUGUAAUCAUUUUGACCAAUAUUCACAUGAAUAUAAAUUUUAUGUGUAAAAUU
rnacentral:lncRNA from 1 species